UUCAACUAAGGUAUUUGAACCUGAAUUAAUUAUCACAUGAUUUAAAAAUAAUAUUCCAGUGGAAGAUACACCUUAAUCGCUAAUCCCGGCUGACCCGGCCGCUUGACAUUUUGACGCAUACAACAAUCAUUUUUCCAUUGCGGCGUCAGAUAUUUUGUUUUAUGACGUCAAGAUUUUAAGGGGACUUGUAUGAUAUCCAGUAAUGGCGGACAUAUAGCGAUAAGGUGUAUUGGGAAAACCAGUGUAAAAACUACAAGUUCAGUAAAUAACAUAAAAUGCCUCAAACUUAAAGCAUUCAACACAUAGAAACUGUUGACAUUGAUGGUGUUGUUGGAGGAGUAUCAUCGUCGUUAUGUACUUGGAAGCAUGAUUAUUGCUAAAUAGUCGUGAUCUUUUGACAUUAAAAUGAUUAUAACUUCCCUAAAUAGUUCCUAUUUGGAUUUUAAUUAUCAAAGUGCAUUUGCACUCUCCGCAAUGUACUCUGUCAACCGACACAAUAUUCAGGAUAUUCUGUUUGAGUCAAAAAUAAUCUCACAUUAUAAACUUUAAUAUUUGUUUAAUAUUUAGACGAAUAAUGACAUUUAGAUGAAUUUAUAUAAAUAAUAUAACGUUUUUCAGUUUCUAAUUCCUGUUGAAUAGCAUGGAACAUACGCAAUCUUAUCGAUAUAUACUUACAACCUCAA